CCUACGGGAGGCAGCAGUGAGGAAUAUUGGUCAAUGGACGCAAGUCUGAACCAGCCAAGCCGCGUGCAGGAAGACGGCUCUAUGAGUUGUAAACUGCUUUUGUAGGAGAGUAAACGCAGAUACGUGUAUCUGUCUGAAAGUAUCGUACGAAUAAGCAUCGGCUAACUCCGUGCCAGCAGCCGCGGUAAUACGGAGGAUGCAAGCGUUAUCCGGAUUUAUUGGGUUUAAAGGGUGCGUAGGCGGUCGGUUAAGUUAGCGGUGAAAUUGCGAGGCUCAACUUCGGAAUGGCCUCUGAUACUGGUCGACUAGAGAGUACGUGAGGUAGGCGGAAUGUAUGGUGUAGCGGUGAAAUGCUUAGAGAUCGUACAGAACACCGAUUGCGAAGGCAGCUUACCAAGCUACUUCUGACGUUGAGGCACGAAAGCGUGGGGAGCAAACAGGAUUAGAUACCCUUGUAGUC
rnacentral:rRNA from 1 species